UGCAGUCGAGCGAGAACGGCUCCUUCGGGGGCUUAGUAAAGCGGCGCACGGGUGAGUAACACGUGGGUAAUCUGCCCUUCGGUGGGGGAUAACAUCUCGAAAGAGGUGCUAAUACCGCAUAAGACCACAAGAUCUCCGGAUCAAGAGGUCAAAGGGGGUCGUCUUCGGGCGGCACUCGCCGAUGGAUGAGCCCGCGGCCCAUUAGCUAGUUGGCAGGGUAACGGCCUACCAAGGCGACGAUGGGUAGCUGGUCUGAGAGGAUGAUCAGCCACACUGGAACUGAGACACGGUCCAGACUCCUACGGGAGGCAGCAGUGGGGAAUUUUGCGCAAUGGGCGAAAGCCUGACGCAGCGACGCCGCGUGGGUGACGAAGGCCCUAGGGUCGUAAAGCCCUGUCAAGGGGAAAGAACAGGUUGCGUGGUAACUCCGCAGCUUUGACGGUACCCCUAAAGGAAGCACUGGCUAACUCCGUGCCAGCAGCCGCGGUAAUACGGGGAGUGCAAGCGUUGUUCGGAAUCAUUGGGCGUAGAGCGCGCGUAGGCGGCGCGGAAAGUCUGAAGUGAAAGCCCUCGGCUCAACCGAGGAAGUGCUUUGGAAACUGCCGUGCUUGAGUCCUGGAGGGGCAGGUGGAAUUCCCAGUGUAGAGGUGAAAUUCGUAGAUAUUGGGAGGAACACCAGUGGCGAAGGCGGCCUACUGGACAGUGACUGACGCUGAGGCGCGAAAGCGUGGGGAGCAGACAGGAUUAGAUACCCUGGUAGUCCACGCCGUAAACGAUGGGUACUAGUUGUCGCGGGUAUCGACCCCUGCGGUGACGAAGUUAACGCACUAAGUACCCCGCCUGGGGAGUACGGCCGCAAG
rnacentral:rRNA from 1 species